UACAGAGGGUGCAAGCGUUAAUCGGAAUUACUGGGCGUAAAGCGUGCGCAGGCGGUUCGUUGUGUCGGCGGUGAAAGCCCCGGGCUCAACCUGGGAAUGGCCGUUGAAACUGGCGAACUGGAGUGUGGCAGAGGGGGGUGGAAUUCCGCGUGUAGCAGUGAAAUGCGUAGAUAUGCGGAGGAACACCGAUGGCGAAGGCAAUCCCCUGGGCCUGCACUGACGCUCAUGCACGAAAGCGUGGGGAGCAAACAGG
rnacentral:rRNA from 1 species